ensembl:lncRNA
UGGGCAUCUGGCGGGCACUGUGGCCUGCAGAGACUCGAGGUGUGGAGGGCAGAGCCAGGGAGGAGUGAGCAUGUCUUGGGACCUGACAGCCAGGCGGCUGGCACCACCAUCACCGCUAUCGCUGCUCCUGGUGCUGGUGCUGCUGUCCGGAGCUGGGGCUCUGCGUCCUGAAGAGCUCUUUCCUUACCGGGAGUCGUGGGGCUGCCUCGGGAGGGCGACGAUGAAAGCUCCGCGGCUGUGAAGCUAGCAGUACCUCUACGCUUCUAUGGUGUCCAGUUCAGCAACCUCUAUGCUUAGCAGCGGCGCUGCAGCUUCUUGAUCCCUACUGUGGAGGAAUAAGGAUCAUUUCAAGGGAGAGCUGGAACCAUCCCCCUCUACUUCGACUUCCCAGGUGUGCAGUGGUGGAGAAAGAUGAGCGGGUUCGAGAGCAGCCGCACCUGUGGGUCGCAGUGCACUUGAGGACUGUCGCCAAAGUUGAGUUUGUUGCCCUGGAUGUGUCUCAACCUGCAAAGAGGAGGGAAUCUUCUUGACUCGAGUAGAACUCGGACCGUAGGUGGGCACCAAUGGCAUCAUCUCCACCCAGGACUUACCCAGGGAGACUUAAUAUGUCGUUGAUGAUUUUCCUACUGACUUCCUAGCCAUCGCCCCAUUCCUGGCUGACAUCCACUCGAGUCAGAGCAGUGGCCGGAUCCUGUAUGGAGGACACCUCCUGGGCUGUGCUGUGUCUGGCUGCUUGCUACCUGUGCACAGGCUUCCUGCUGACCAGGUCCAGCUUCCCCCCUACCCACUUCUUCCUGGCCACCUGGGAACAAGUGGGCCCCUAGGAGGAGGACAGUCUUGGGGCUGCGUGGUCUAGAGAGCUUAACACUCUCCAGGCUGUUCUGGCAUCCGAUGAAUGUGAUUCCUAUGUCCUCUUUCUCUAUCCUGCCAAUGGUCUUCAGUUUUUGGAACUCGCCCCAAAGAAUCCUACAGUGUCCAGCUGCAGCUUCCUGCUAAGGUGGGCUUCUGCCAAGGGGAAGCAGAUGACCUGAAGAGAAAAGCCCUGUAUUUCAGCCUGACUAACAGUGAGCAGUCGGUGAAGAAUCUCUACCCAUGAGUAAUGUGGAGUGUGUGACUGUGAUAUGCACUGAAAGGACAUUAGGAGGGACACUAUCUCUAGUGGCCAGAAACCAUUUGAUAAUAACCUUUGGUGGCUUCUAAGAAAGGCACUGGCUCAAAACCAAGAGCUAAGCUGGACCUCUGGAGCUUCAGGCUCUCCAAGAUGUAAAAGAUUCUUUCUUUUUCCUGCACUAUCUGUCAGGCAUAGAAACCAGAACGAGCAGUGAUUAUAUGUUUUUGCAGAACUACUGGGGCUUGCUGUGAAAAACAUUGUUCUUAGGGCUACACAAAAAUAUCCAGUCAUAACUAACUGCCUCAGUGGAAGCUUUUCAGGUUAAUGAUUUCUGGAGAGGAGGCAUCAUGAUUCAGUCUUUCAAACAGGUAUUGUUAAGGAUUAAAUUAUGAGUACUAUAAUGGGGGAGAGGUAGAUGAGGCUUUUAGUCGUCUCAGGUUUCUCCUGGCAUCAUCACCUGAAAUCAUGCUGAUUGGUUUACCCACAGCGUUGCCAGAGACAAUUCCAUUUCUUAGUCUCCCCAGUGGGUUAUUCUGCUAGUGCUGCAGUAGGCUAUUCUGCAGGUGUCUGUCCAGUUCGUGCUCAUAUGAGACUAUUGACUUCAGGUGGGCUCUUUUGUCUUUGUAUUCUGCAAUACCAGCUUAGCCCAUAGGAGUUACUUUGUGGCUUCCCAUAGUUGCUUCUCAGUCAAACUAAGACUAGAUCGUGGGCAGAUAGAGUGACAGAGCAAAAAUUUGCUCAUCACUUUAUCUGCAGGGCAUUGUGAUAAAACACUUGCAGAUAUUAUCUUAAUUAAAACUCUCUCAACUUAUAGGCGGUAAGUAUAACUAUCUUUCCAGUUUUACAAAUAGUCUUCCCGAAAUUAUGAAAGGUGCUUAUGUCAGAGUUAAAUGGCCGAGCCAUAGUCAAUACAGCUCUGAAGUAUGGAUACAAGGGUGAUCUCUUAUGCAGAGUAGAUAGGGUGUUUCUUACUUGGAUUUCAUGUUACCUGGUUGUUUGUAUUUUGGUUCAUUUUAUCAGUCACUCAGGGUUAAAGCUCAUUCUGCCACUCUCCCGCAAUUUUGAUAUUUCUGGAAAGCAUCAAAGGAGACAGUGAAGAACCGGAGUGAAUGGAUGACAGUGUUUGUGUCUGCCUGUGUGUGUGUGUGUGUGUGUGUGUGUGUGUGUGUGUGUGUGUGCAUGCGCGCGUGCAUGCGCAUGCGUGUGUGUGAGCACGUGUAUGAAGGCCUUUAUGGCUCUAGUAGGAAAACACAACUUUCUCCUCACAUGCUUUUUGCACACACACACAGGCACAGACAUACGGGCACACACAUGCACAUGCACAGCAGCUUCUUAUGGCUAUGCAGGUACCAAUUCUCAUUCUAAUACUCUGUGAUUCUUGGUCCUUCCCAGAUGCUGUUGGUGUCCAGGGGAUCUGCCUUUAAAAAGCAUAGUAUUUCAAACACUCAGCCCUAUUUCCAAGGGCUCUACAUACAAGUGUCCCCUCCAUUACUGUGAUCCAUACAGGGUCUUUAUCUCCAUCUCAUCCGCUGUGUACUCUAGACUCUAGAACAGACUUAGCAGUUGGCCUCUAUCCUUUCUCCUCUAACCUCUUACCCUCUAGCUUAAAGACUCUCUCUCCCCAGGUUGUACCUAGAGCCCCCUGGAAGGAGGGCUGAUUGCUUGAAAUACUACGAUGUUUAAGACACAGGAGUGUGCCAGAAAGGAGCAGCAUGAGACAUGACCAGAGUGAUUGACAGAUUUGGUGUGCCUCACGCUUAAUAAAAUGAGACAAACUACAGACAAUGGAAUAACAUAAAAUGCAAGUCAGAAUUAUCCUACCACUACUCUGAGUGACAACUCUGCUACCUCCCCUUUCAGCAUGGGCUUUGCCUCCCAUUCAGUGUUUCCAUACUUAACACUGUCUCCUAGGAUUCUUUCCUCCAGAUUCUGUCAGUAUCAUUGUCUUAAGGGUUGAAACAUUGCAUCACACAUGCCCAGCAUUGAGGACAACAUUUGUAAACAAAGUAGCUCAGGAUCAUGGUCCUAGCUCCCUCUGGAUGCUUUGCUG